UUUCUACUUUCAAUGCAUAGUAUUUUGGCAAGAGCUAUCUUUAGUGUUUGCCUCUUUCCUUUGUGAUCUUUAACUUUGCUUUAUUUUUUAAACACGAGAGUUGUGUCGAUAAUUUGUAUGAAAUACACACAAUGCAUAAUAAAGAAUAUAGGCAUAGGGUAUUUCUAUUGUCCAGUCGUGCGGAACGAUUGCACGGGUGCAGUAGAUUUUCUAACCAUUGAUCUUGUAAUGAACGGUCUACACUAAAUGGAAUACAUUGUACAUGUCAUUGGUAUAGAAAUGUUACGCUGUGGGUUUUCUUUAGGGAUAAUUGCCUGGUGUACUUUCUCUCCAUUAGCCUUCUUUGCUUGAGAUUCUUAUUCAAGGAUUUGAAAUACGAUGGGUAUUCUCUUAAUUCAUUUUGAUUAUUCUCAUUUGGUAGAUAGUCUUUUGUUUUGGUUGUCGGUGACCAAAACUUGGACUCCUGCAGUAAAUAAAAAAUACCAGAUGUAGAGGAUGGACACCAUGACCCGGAGCACCGUUUGAAAUGUCUCUGGUAAAACUACCUUGUGAAGAACGAAGUAAUAUCUUAGAAGAACUUCCUACUUUUACACUCAGAGAAGGAAGAGCAAAAGCAGAGCUAAUGGGUGCUUCGGGGGAAAUGUAAGGGAAUUAUUCAAAUAUAGGUGAAUUAGUUAUUUGAGAAGGGGCCAAUUGGAUUGUAACUGCAUCUUGGAGAAAGGAUUGAGUGUUUCUUAUGGAAUUUACGUGAAAUGAGGUGCAUGAAGCUUACUCUGUCUGUAGUCGUGGAAGUUUUAG